rnacentral:misc_RNA from 1 species
GAAAUGCGAUAAGUAAUGUGAAUUGCAGAAUUCAGUGAAUCAUCGAAUCUUUGAACGCACAUUGCGCCCGCCAGUAUUCUGGCGGGCAUGCUUGUUCGAGCGUCAUUACAACCCUCAGGCCCCCGGGCCUGGCGUUGGGGAUCGGCGGAAGCCCCCUGCGGGCACAACGCCGUCCCCCAAAUACAGUGGCGGUCCCGCCGCAGCUUCCAUUGCGUAGUAGCUAACACCUCGCAACUGGAGAGCGGCGCGGCCACGCCGUAAAACACCCAACUUCUGAAUGUUGACCUCGAAUCAGGUAGGAAUACCCGCUGAACUUAAGC